UACCAUGGUGUUGGGUAUCACUAUAGCAACGCCCCGGCCGCCUACCAAGCUUGAACCAACAGUGUGACGCGGAUUCACUUCCGGUGACGCCAGCGGGACGGCGACGGGAAGCGGCCGACGGGCUUCACGUGCACCUGGGUGAGUUGAAUAAAGAGUCUUGAAACAUGCAGCCAGAUGUAGGCACAUAAACAGAUGGAUGGAGAUCACACAUAUCCCUAGUAACAGGCAGAAAAGUUGGCUGUAAAUAAUCCGUUAGCUGACACUCCCAUGGAAAUUUCACAAGGAACCUCCACAAUCGUCAUCAGAAUAAUGAGGCAUACAGUAAAUGGACGCAGUCACAGAGGACAGGAAGAGGCCUCUGUGAAAAUAAUUAGCACACAACAAUGGCUUUACCAGAACAGUGAUUUGGAAAGUAAAAUGCACUGAACAGAGGGAAAAGUGACUGUCAGAUGUUUAGCAAUAAGCAGAACUACUCAUAUCUUACAGACCUGAAUAAACCAGAAAAUGCAUUAUC